rnacentral:hammerhead_ribozyme from 1 species
GUACUACUGAAGAGCUCCAAAAUAGGACGAAACAGCUGUCCAGUAC